rnacentral:rRNA from 1 species
AUGCAAGUCGAACGCAGUAGCAAUACCGAGUGGCAGACGGGUGAGUAACAUGUGGGAAUCUGCCUUGUGGUUCAGGACAACAUUGGGAAACCGAUGCUAAUACUGGAUAAGCCCUUACGGGGAAAGUUUUAAUGCCAUAAGAUGAGCCCGCAUUUGAUUAGUUAGUUGGUGAGGUAAUGGCUCACCAAGACAAUGAUCAAUAGCUGAUCUGAGAGGAUGAUCAGCCACACUGGGACUGAGACACGGCCCAGACUCCUACGGGAGGCAGCAGUGGGGAAUCUUGCACAAUGGAGGAAACUCUGAUGCAGCGAUGCCGCGUGAGUGAAGAAGGCCUUUGGGUUGUAAAGCUCUUUUGUAGGGGAAGAUAAUGACUGUACCCUAAGAAUAAGGUCCGGCUAACUUCGUGCCAGCAGCCGCGGUAAUACGAAGGGACCUAGCGUAGUUCGGAAUUACUGGGCGUAAAGCGCGCGUAGGCCGUUGAGUUAGUUAAUUGUGAAAUCCCAAAGCUUAACUUUGGAACUGCAAUUAAAACUGCUCGACUAGAGUUUGAUAGAGGAAAGCGGAAUACAUAGUGUAGAGGUGAAAUUCGUAGAUAUUAUGUAGAACACCAGUUGCGAAGGCGGCUUUCUGGAUCAACACUGACGCUGAGGCGCGAAAGUAUGGGUAGCAAAGAGGAUUAGAUACCCUCGUAGUCCAUACCAUAAACGAUGAUUGCUAGAUGUUGGAAAUUUAUUUUCAGUAUCGCAGCUAACGCAUUAAGCAAUCCGCCUGGGGAGUACGACCGUCAGGUUAAAACUCAAAUGAAUUGACGGGGACCCGCACAAGCGGUGGAGCAUGUGGUUUAAUU